rnacentral:rRNA from 1 species
UGGGGAAUAUUGCACAAUGGGCGCAAGCCUGAUGCAGCCAUGCCGCGUGUAUGAAGAAGGCCUUCGGGUUGUAAAGUACUUUCAGCGGGGAGGAAGGUGUUGUGGUUAAUAACCACAGCAAUUGACGUUACCCGCAGAAGAAGCACCGGCUAACUCCGUGCCAGCAGCCGCGGUCAUACGGAGGGUGCAAGCGUUAAUCGGAAUUACUGGGCGUAAAGCGCACGCAGGCGGUCUGUCAAGUCGGAUGUGAAAUCCCCGGGCUCAACCUGGGAACUGCAUCCGAAACUGGCAGGCUUGAGUCUUGUAGAGGGGGGUAGAAUUCCAGGUGUAGCGGUGAAAUGCGUAGAGAUCUGGAGGAAUACCGGUGGCGAAGGCGGCCCCCUGGACAAAGACUGACGCUCAGGUGCGAAAGCGUGGGGAGCAAACA